rnacentral:lncRNA from 1 species
CGCCAUUUUGACAUCACAUCGAGCUGGUGGCCUAACUUUUAUAAGAACAUGUUUUUCGCUAUGGCAGCUUACUUCAGUAUUUCUUAGUACAAUAACUUUUUUUUGUUAAAUAGAUCAAUAUUUGUUUGACAAUUCUACAAGACUUUUUGAUGUAGAAGAUCCACAAUACUAUAAUAACUAUAGAGCAUACUAACUUGUAUCACUGCAAACCAUGAUAUAGAAGACUAACUCUGAUUUGAGACCUAAAAAUUAAAAAAGUAAAAAUGAAUCACCAAAAGAAAGAAGAGGUUUUAAAAGAACAUAUUUAUGUUAGAAAGAAAAUUUAGGAAAACUCAACAUUUUUC